AUAGGAUUUAUCUUCAAGCUUGCAAACAAUUUGAAGGAUGCUUAAUCCGAUGAAAAAAAUUGAAAACAAGGUAAACCAAAAACUAUAUACACACAUGAUGGACUUGUAACCUGAGAAAAUGAGAACAAGAAUGACUGCAAGGUUGCGAGUAAGCUUUGUCGUCUCCCGACGCGUUCCAAGAUUUCAACUAAAAAUAGGAAUGUUGUGAAUCGGUUUAAAAUGUUUUGCCCGAGCCCUUGUGAGCGUUAUCAACUGAAAGAAAUUUGAGUUAUUUGGUUUUCACAUUCGCGUUGUGAAUCGAUCUCGUUAGAUAGCAAAUCAAACAUUUUGUUAGAUUUUUUAAUAAGGCUUGGCAAACAGGGACGCUGGUCGUUCAAUCCGAAACUAAGAGACCUGCUAUAUUUCAUAACACAUCGUCUGUCAAAAUACCUCUUCAUUUAUUCAGCGAAUCAGCCAUGAUAUAAUCACAUGUGAGAAAGCAACGCAUUAGAAAAGAACCGAAAGCAAUAAGCACAAGAAAACAUUAUCAAUUAUGUGACAAAAUCACAGAAAUUUAGUGCCAUUAGGGGAAAGGAAAAAAAAAGAAAAACAAAAACAAAAGCAUAAACAGUUUUCAGUUUAGUUUUGAUCAAAACCACUCAAACCGAAGUUCCCAAGCUUUUUCUGCUGUACGGCCAAGGCGGAUUACGGUACAGCAGCCAUAACGCAGCAGUUGGAGUCCCAUACCGUCUCGAAAAGAGCGGAAGACUGAGAUUCAGAGGAAGCCUAUAAAAAGGUAGCCAACGAAGGUAAAAGGGUUAGCAUUUUUAAGAUAAAAGAGAAAACCACAAAAAAAAAGCCAUAAGACCCGUGGCAAGCGUUCCCCGAACCUUCAUAUCUGACUUGAGCGUCGGAGGGUUUGCGCCGGGAGAACAACCGGCGUACUCUGACUUGUCUGUGUGUGCAGGGACAUCCGGAGAAGAAGCAUUACUAGGAGACCUCCUGGUCGUGGUAGAGUUGAUCGAGCAGGGAUCCUGGUCGUAGAACGAGGAGAACCGGAAUCUCGCAUCAACAGGUGUCGUAAUUCGAUUUAGGUGAAUUGUUGGUUAAAUUAUCGAUGGUUGUAUUGCUUCUUAGUAUAAUUCUAUGUUUUCCAUAUCACCGGCAAAUAAAUGAAAAUGCUCGUGGUUCCAUCGGAAUUGAGUUUAAUUUAAUUUUUUUUAUAAAGGAAAUCUAUUAAUUGUUCGGUUAUUAAUCACAAUUUCCGAAUUUCGGUAGGGAAAAAAAAUAAAAAUUGUAUUAAAAAAAAAGGUGCCAAUCAGUCCCCGCAUUUCACGGGAUGGUUCAUGAAUUGAAAGGCCUGUCACUUUUGUAAACCUGGAAUAGUGUGUAGAGAAAUUGACUUCGGGUAUAAUUUGGAAAGGAAGUGGGCUCAGUGAUGGGCCAUUUAUGGCCAUGCUAACAAUGGGCGAUCUAAAGGCCGCGUGGAAACAAUUAAAAUUAUUAGGCAACUAUUUGGAAAAAAAAGAAAAAGAAGUGCAAUAAUAACCAAUGGAAGGCGUGUUACAUUUGAAUGGGUAAGGUUUUUGUGACAGUGUCACUAAGUUGUUUGCCGUGGGACGAUUUUAGACUUUUAUUAUUUGAGUCUUUUUUUUUUCCCUAUUUUAAUUAGUGUCAAAAUUUUAUUUGAAGUAGUUUAUUUUUCAACUCAUAGAGUACGGAUCGAAAUCAUGUCAAUUUUCGAAUCUAAGGGUAUACAUGCAUUGAAUUGAUGGAGGACUCUAAUGGUGGUGCAUCCAUGUUUCGAUGAUUUGGUGCGAGUUAUCAAUUGCUUGGGUUGAGGGCUAAUCAAGAGACUUGCUGGGAUAAUCUAGAUGGGUUGUUACGUUGUUGAGUUUUUGUUGUGUUUUUAGUUGGUACUUAGUGUUGUGUCAUGGUAUAUUGUGUCAAUUUUAUAUUAUUUUUUCCUUCCCCAAUUGAGAAAAGGGUUUUAUCUGCAUUAGUUGAUGUAAGUAGCAGUCUGUAAAAUUCCUCCCGAUGGUAACUAAGUAGGUUUAAUUAGUGAAGUCAUUUUUUCUCUUUCGGCUUGUAAUUACAUUUAUUAUUAGAAGUUGAUGAUCAUAUAUUUAUACCCCUGUGGCAUUUUAUAGUUGGGCUAUUUUUGGUCCUUAAUGGAAGGUAAGCUUUCUUUUAAAAAAAUAUAAUUGUGAUUUAGUUUUUUAUCUGAGUUAAUUUAGAAAGUAAUAUACUCUUAUCAUUAUUAAUUUAAUUCAUUUAUUCAAUAAAAAUUCUUCUUUUAUAAUUCUCAUAGCAUUAUUAAAAAUUUAUUAAGUCGUUUGAAUUAAAAUAGAGAUUUAUUCAAACAAUUCACGUUUGUUGCAUUAAUUAGUACAAAACAAUUCUCUAUAAAUUGUACAACUUUCUCAACCACCGACAUCCAUUCCCAUCUAAUCCACCACUAAAAAAAGAAAAAAACUAAAAAAAAUCUCAAAUAAAUUACCUAAACACAUACCUAAUUAGACACUAAUGAAAAUAGAAAAUUAGACUAAAAUUAAAAAAAAAAAAUCUAAGAUCUUUUAAAAUUGUCUUACAUCAUUGCUCAGAUUAAAAUUAGGGCAACGCCUAUGUUACAUUUGCUGCAACAAACAGCCGGUCAAUAUGGGCCGUUGGAUUUGUAAUUUUUCAAAUCCAACGGAUGUGAAGAAAUUUAACACAGAAUGAGGUACAUGUGCAAUGGUCAAACGAUUAUUAUAAAGAAAAUAUGGGCAACCUCCCGAAACGGUUCUGGAAAAUUGCAGUUAACGGGGUAAUGGGUAAUGAAAUUGAUGGAGGGAGAAGGAAAGUGAUGAGCGCAUAUUUUGGGUAUGAAAAAUAGAACAAGGAAAAAUGAGAGUAAUCAGGGUUUGAAAGAGGGGAAAAUAACAGUAGCACCAAAGGAUAUUAUAAGCUUCCGCUUUCAAUUUUGCAGGUUCACUUAAAUUUGGAAACCUAACAAAUUGCUGCUCACCAAAACCGAAGCUAGAGUCGUCCGAAUAUCACUGAAAAAGGUAAAAUUUGAAACCUCAUCUUCGCAAGUUGUCUUGACUAAAUAAUUUCACACACAUGAUUCAUUGUUAUGGCUGGUUCCUUAUUAUUUUAAUGCAUUUAUUUAGAAAACUCCCAAAAUCGACCCUAACGAAAGUCAGAGUGAAGCGAAUCAAAAGUUGGCGUGAACCGCAUGGUUUAAGGCUAAAGAAACAAAUUAACAAUUUUUGAAAAUCUUCAUAGUUUCUCAAACUGCAUGUCCUCCUCAUUUUAAUAAUCAGUAAUAACAUACAGACCUAGAAAUAAUCUCUUAUUUUUCUCAGCCUCUAAUCAAUGAAUUCCAAUAUAAAAUUUUGAAUAUUUCAUUGAUUAUGUUAGAGAAGGGAGAUGUUGCUUUCUUCAAUAAACGGAGCAAGAGAAAAAUGGAUUCCAGAAGUUUGACAGCCACAUUUCAAUCGGGAUGGAAAAAAAAUUAAAUUUCAAAUUUUAAUUUUGUUUUUGAAAUUUUAAUUAAUAUGCCACUAAUAUUCAACCGGCUAUUCUAAGGAAUGAGUCCUUAACUUUACUUUUAACACUUUUUGCAACUGGCUCCAACCGGUUUCAACAUGUUUUCAGUGUCGAUCCUUACCGCCACGUGUUGCUCUUACGUGGGUCAAUUGGUCGCGUCGUCGCUGUUACUUACACCAAAUGUAACAUAAGCUUACCCUAAAAUUAGACGUGCGAAGUGGCAAAAGAAAUAUAAAUAAAUGAAGGUCUGACCGAAAGUCAAUUUGAACGAGCUGGACCUUGUUAGUGGACCUGUCUACCUUACAGAUUCUGUAACAUACGCACCCAAUGCAUGCACCACACCUGUCCUGCGUAUGGAGAAAAAGCAUGCAAUUGUUUUUGUUUGGUAGCUAGCUAACCAAUCAGGAGCUGGCUAAGUUGGAUCUGUAUGUUACAGAAUCUGUAACUUAGCCAGCUCCCCUUGUUAGUUAUUACAAUUGCUUGACCAAUUUGUUUGACAAAAAUAAUGUGGAGCAGAGCACAGAUUGUGGUCCACCUAAGCUGCCAUAUUCACUAGGCUAGGCAAGUAACACAUUUAUUUUAUUUUAUAGCAUGUUAGCUCGAAUACUCUACUGAAAAAAAAAAUAAAAUAAAAUAAAAUAAAUUGACUGAUACGCGCUCCCGUCUGUCGUCUCACGCAUGACCCAUUGGAUUAUGAUUUUGAUUCCCAAUAUUUAGGCUCUAAGCCAUCAAUCAUUGUCGAAUCUUAAUCAAAUCACUAUAUACAUAUUCAAAGAGCGUUGCCGCUACUUAUCCCAACAAAUUAACUCUCUGUCUCAAUCCAUUUAAUUAAAAUACAUAAUUUGAACUAUCUAGUAAUAGUGUCUCAUCAUUUCAUACAAAGAAUUUACAUUGUUAGUAGUAUUAGUAAAUUACAUAUAAAAUUAAGAUAAAAAUUUUACAACUUAAUUAUCGAUGCACGUAUGUUCAUUAGAAUGAAAAAUUAUGUAUAUUCACUUAUUUGUUAGACUAUGGAUACGGGUGUAUAAUACAUUAGUGUGAGUGUAUAAUAAGCAUCAUUUCUAUUAGACUAUUCGUAACUACAAUACAUGUCUCAUUUUAUCAAAGAUCAAACACAAAUAAUCUGUUACUUUUCUAAGAUAUUUCCAUUAUUAACAGUUUGAUGUGCAAAUAAGAGUAUAUAUAAGGGAGCCUUGAUUGAUUGGAUCCCAACUUCAACUUCGCAAGUGAAAAUGUGAAAUCAAUUGAAAGCAUUGCCAAGGCGGGACAAAAUUGACUUGGCGUUGGGGACAGGACAUCGAUAUUGAAAUCAAAACGACAGUGUUUAGUCAUGUUCCUCACAGAUCGUUCACAAAGAUAUUAUAUAAUCGACAAUGCAUAAUCUAAAAACAAAACGACAAGCGUGUGCACACCACUUGCUCAGACCACUGUCCAAAGCAAAACAAAACAAAAAGAGAUAAUGCAAGAGCAACAGCGCUUUGGUCAAAGCGCAUACUAAUCCAAUCCAGCUUACUUACACACUUUGAAGAACAAACAGAGCCAACUUAAGCUUCCAAUUCCAAUCUGUCCUCCCCUCUUCUUCUCUCUGCUUCUUAAACUUAGAUUCUCUCCAUAAACAAAGCCCCACGUGCGAACUCAAGCUCUGGAGUGAGUAACUAUUAACUAAGCUUCUUAAGUCUUGAACUCUUAACAAUGCCACUCCUUUCAUUUUGGUUCUUCUUUAGUUAGUAGCUUUAAAAACUUUGUUGGGUCAGUCAAGAUUCUUGCUUCUUGGGUCUUAUCUGUCUGUUUGCUUUUGGCUGAUUGUAAUGAUGUUUCUUUUGAAACUCCUUUUUUUCUUGAAAAAUGUUCUAGUAAUGCAAAAGUUAAUAGAAUGAGCCUUGGUGUUGUAGCUUCAGAGCUUAAAGUUGCAGGCUUUUUUUUUGCCGAAAGGAAAGCGAAUCUCAAAAUGGUGAUUGUACACAUUGCUCCCUUUUGUUAGUUUUUUAAGCUGCAUUGCUUCUUCUGCUUCUUCUUUCUCUUGCUUGCUUUAGAUCUCUAUGCUCUAGUUUGAUGCGUAUGAUACUCUUGGAUGUAACUCAUUCUCUCUCUCUUUUUUUUUUUAAUUCUCUCAUGCUGCAACUUUCCGAGAACAUGUUUUCUUAGGAAACAAACACACUAAUUGCUGGCGUUUUCAAGCUUUACAAAAUAGAAAAGGUUUGAGUGGUUUCCUGAAAACUUGUUGUGUUGUGUUCUUCAAAUUUAAUUGACCGUCAUUAUAGUGUCACAGUUUUGUUAUCCUUAUUUCACGGCAACUAUGGAGGAGCGAACCUCACUUCCUAAAUUACCACAACGCCCUUUCACGGGACUGAAUUUACAACAAAUAGACACUAAAACAAUGUUUUAUCCCUUGUCUUUAGUAGGGGUAUUUGUGUCGCUUUAUCAUUGUUGUCCUUGUACCUGUAGGUCCCCUGGACCGCAAUAAUGGGGUCAUGAGCGUGGUAGAAUUGUGAUAGCAUUCAAUUGUUAGAGAUGAUUGCUUUUAAUCUCUUGUUGACAAUUUGAUUUUUACUCACCUGACGAUCUCUUUUACUUGUUUAUUCAUUUGCAUUUUUUAUUCUUGGGUUGGUAUGUGUGAUGCGAAUGAUGAGUGUGUAUCUUGUGCCUUUAUCGCUUCAUGCAUAUUAUGAUAAGUGGUAGUUGUCCUCCAUAUGCUUAUUUAAUUUUUUCAUGGAUGCAUUGGAUUCUCUUGUCUGAACUUGUGAUAUUUUCUGAUCUCUUACAGGCUUAGUGGGACAGGGAGCAUUGAAGUGGUGAAACCAAAAAAAAUUAACUCAUUUCUUUUGCACUUUGUACCUUGAAGCUUUGUUACAUACAUUAUGCAGACUCCAAAAGCAAGGCAAGUAAUUUCUAACGCCUCGUGACUGUUAAUUCACUCUCAUCUCUGAAGUUGUCAAUUCUUAUCUCAUCUUGCAUAUUAGGUAACUUGUUUAAUGAAUGCUUAAUGGGUACAGUGAGUUCUUUGCUGGAAAUUCACGGCUGUAGUUUGUAUGUACUUAUUUUCUUGCCGCUGGGGCCUCUCCUAGAUUUUUCUUUCACCCUCCUUCCCGUUUACUUAGAUCUUGUGUUUGACUAACUGGUGAAUUUAUGCAAGUUUCACUCACUAUCAAGUUGCUAUUAGAGGCAAUACUUGGCUAUCAGUUGUGAGCUGUGACUGUUUUCUGUCAUUAUCAAAAAAAAAAAAGAAAAAAGAUUGAGUCAUAUUGCCUUAUCUCUUGCCUUAACUCCAGCCAAUGACGGGUCCCAUUGGUGAGACUUGUUGGUGGAUUUACUAUGACAGAGAUAAUUAAUUUGUUUUUGUUCAGCCAGGCUAAUUUGUUGUAUUCUUUUUGUUAUGCCUACUCAGAAUUUUUCCUUUGUGAUUUUGAGAAAAGCUGGAACUUCAAUAGUGAUUGACUAAAUUCUUCUACAACCUAAGCUGGUUUUUUCUCAGAAAGGAAAAUAAUACAUAUAUAUAUACAUAUUUAGGUUUUCCUAUUUUUUGGUUGAUUGAGACUCAGAUACAUCACUUAUAGACAACUAUCACUUAUAGACAACUGUUAUCAAUUGGAAGUUGUAUGGUAGAAAAUUGAUUUUCUUGGAAUUGGAGGAGCAUAGUUUGAAUCUUGUUAUUUAAGAUGACUGCAUUUAUGUGAUUUUUUUCUUCUUCCAGAAAUUUGCAAUUCUGUGAACCAAUUCAUGGUAAGGGAUAGGGUUUUGUUAGAUUUAGCUGAUUCUAUCAGUCAUAAAUAGACCAUUCUUAAAUCAUUCAUCCAUCCGCAGAUGGUGUUACUAAUUCAUAAUACAUGCAAAGUAUCCGUGCUAAUUCUGUUAAUUUCAGAUGUUAUCAACACUUUGAACCUACUCUUGCUGAAUGUGCUAUUCGUUCAUUUGUCCUUUUGAUUUCUAGCAAUGUGGAGUUCCCUAUUUCUUAGUUUGUUACCAAGAACGGAUUAAGUAGUUAGUCUUCCUUAUUUUGGUCGGCUGAUUCAUAGAGCAGCUGUUAUUUCUUUUUCAAAUUAACACAUUAUUCUCAGUUUCUCAUGAGAAAAAAGUGUCUUGUUAUUGCUGGUCAACAUAGAGUUUAAUGCAAAGUAAAUGAUAGACUAGAAGUGCUUUUUCUUUUCCUAAAACCAAGAAAUGUGGUUCUUCUUUGUCUAGAAGCAUGUAACUAUUGACAAUUUUUAUUUUUUAUUUUUUUAUGUAUGUACCUGAUUUUCCUCUUACUGAUUUUGAUAAUAGAAGUGGAUCCUCAGAGGCACCCCUAAAAGUCUCCCCUCGAGCAGUUCGACAACUCAAUACAACUGCAUUAGAGUCCAAGUCAGCAUCGUCAUCAAAUCAAACUUGUAGAACACCAAAAGAUAAAAGCCCUAAGGUCAUUGAUCGCAGAUCACCCAGAAGCCCAGUGUCUGAGGUACUUGAUACAGUGGAGCUAACUGAUUGUGUUUACAUUUACAUUAUCUGAACACGUUCUAGAAUUUUAGAAUUGUGUUUUAGAUGUUUCAUUUAAACUUUAACCAGAUGCAUUUAUUAAAAUCUGAUGAAUGUUAAUGCAUAUGAUGAGGCUGAUGAACAUUAAUACAUAUGAUGAGAACUGUCAAAGUUGCCUUCUUGUUGACAAAUUCUUAGGCUUUUUGAAUCUAGUUGCCUUUUGAAAAUGGCUUUACUGAAUUUAUUGUUUCAUUAAUUUUCUUGCUUGAUCCUAGAAAGAAAGCAAGACUGCAAAAGAUCUAGUCUGGUCCUUUCCAUGACACCUUGUAGUCUAAUUUUUAUGGCCUAUUGAGAUUUAUAUCAUCUGUAGCAUUGAGUUGAUUAUGAACCCUAUGGGGCCUUUCUAGGGUUAGGUGACAUAUUUACUCAAGUCAGUUGAGAGAGGUUGGGAAAGAGAAAGUAUUCAAUUCUUUUCCCCUAUAUAACAUAUGCCUACUUUUAAAUGAUCUGAUUAAUGUUUGGUUUUCAUUAUCUCAUGAAACAUAAUUUCUACAAAGAUUAUAGUUUUAGAAUGCAAGCAUAAUUCCUACCUUUUGGUUCUUUUUGUAUUAAUAUCAUUAUCAUAGUUUUAGAAUACAAAUACUUUUUACUGUGUUGCUGGCUGUAUGUAUCACUUAUUAAAGUGGGAAGUGGGAACCCUUUGAUGAUUUUAUGACCGUAUUGUCUUUUUGUCUUGUUUCAGAGGAAGCGGCCCAGCAGAAUAUCUGAGUUGGAAUCUCAGGUUUCUAGACUUCAGGAGGACUUGAAGAAGGCGAAGAAUCAGCUAAGUUCAUCUGAAUCAUGGAAGCAGCAAGCUCAGCAAGAUGCAGAGGACUCCAAAAAACAACUACUGGCACUGUCCUCAAAGCUGCAAGAAUCCCAGAAGCAGCUUCAGGAACUCUCUGCUUCUGAGGAAGCUCGCGCAGUUGAGCUUCAAAAGGUCUCCCAAGAAACAGAUCAAUCAUGCCAAUCUGAGCUUCAGGCUAUCCAGAAUCAGCAUUCAAUUGACUCAGCAGCCUUGGCCUCUGCCUUGAAUGAGCUCCAGCAACUUAAGGCUCAGUUUGAAAUGGUAGCUGAAUCUGAGGCUGCACAGACCAAGAAUGCAGAAUCAGCACAUUUGGAGCUCCAAAGCUUGAAAGGAAACCUGAUAGAAACUAUUUCUCUCAUGGAAAACAUGAAAAAUCAGCUAAGAGAAAGCAAAGAAUCGGAAACUCAGGCCCAAGCAUUGGCCAGGGAAACUCUGCUUCAACUUGAAACUGCAAAACUAUCUGUAGAGGCACUCAGAGCAGAAGGCAUGAAAGCCAUUGAAGCUUACAGCUCCAUUGCUUCAGAGUUAGAACGGUCGAGGACGCGCAUAAACUUGUUAGAAGGGCUUGUUAGUAAACUUGAAGCUGACACCAGUAAUGCCAAUAGAAAUCUUUCACAAAAUUGUUCUGGUGAUUAUGACCUUGGGCAAAAAAUUAAAGAAAAUCAAGACACCAUGGAGUCAAAACAUCUUGAAGAGGAGCUUUCUUCUUUGAAGUCAGAAGUAGGAUGGCUGAGAUCUGCUUUAGAAAUUGCUGAGACUAAACUGAAUGAAGGACAAAUCCAGAGCACAGUGAAGAUAAAAAGUGCUUUUGAACAGUUGGAGCAGAUAAAACAUCAGUCAGGCCUAAGGGAGGUUGAACUGGAAGCAGAACUACAGAAGGCAAAAUCUGACAUUGAGGAGUUGAAGGCCAACCUGAUGGAUAAAGAAACUGAACUGCAGGGUAUUUCAGAAGAGAAUGAGGGGCUACACAUGCAACUCGACAAAAAUCUAAUGUGCCAGAGGGAAUCUCAACUGAACAAUGAUCUGCGGAAACUUGCACAAGCUGUUGAAGAUUUGAAGGCAAAUUUAAUGGAUAAGGAGACAGAACUGCAAAAUAUAUCUGAGGAGAAUGAGAUGCUGAAGCUGGAAAUCAGCAAAAGGGAAUUGGACACUCCUAAUAGGAACAGUAAUUUGGCUGCAGAAGUAGAGGCAGCUAGGUCUGCUGAGAAAGAGGCACUGAUGAAGCUCGGGCUUCUAAUGGAGGAGGCUGAUAAGAGUAACAGGAGAGCCGCAAGAAUGGCUGAGCAGCUUGAGGCAGCACAGUCGGCAAACUGUGAAGCCGAGGCAGAGUUGAGAAGGCUAAAAGUGCAGUCCGACCAGUGGAGAAAGGCUGCUGAGGCGGCUGCCUCUAUGCUUUCAACUGGAAACAAUGGGAAAUGUAUGGAGAGAAGUGGAUCAAUUGACAGCAACUAUAAUCCUAUUACCGGAAAGAUACCUUUACCUUAUUCGGAUGACAUAGAUGAUGAUUUGCUGAAGAAGAAGAAUGGAAACGUAUUAAAGAAGAUUGGCGUGUUGUGGAAGAAACCACAGAAAUAGAAUCAAUGUGAGUCGGUCAAAUAUGUUUACGAAAAUUUCUUUAUAUCUUCCUUUCCUAAUCCUAACUGUAUAUUUCACUUUGUUCUUGAUUCAUUGACAGAUGCUCCCAGCUUCUUUUGAUAGGGACAGCCAAUUCAUUUUGUUACGAAGUGAAAAUGGGCACUUGAUGGCAGUAUUUAAUAGCUUGUUCUCGAUAUUUAUCUUGUAGUAGUGCAAAGUAUACAUGUCACAUUAAUGGUUUGCUAAUAUUGGAUUUCACUUGUUUGGAAUUACAACAUAUAUGUAUGUUGUUAGGAAUGAUAGUAUCAAACAUUAAUGCUGAGACGUGAUUCUGGAUUUUGAACCAUCUGCUGAUGGUUUCCUUUGAUCUCCUGUCAGUGUUAUGUGGCUGUAAAAGGAAAAGUUUGCUUCUCCACAGUAGUCAACUUGUUUGUGCCUUGUACAGCUCUUUGCUAUUUAGUAAUCUUUCCCCUGUAAAUUUCCCACCCGGCAUCGUCUUUGACUUGAGUAAAUUUGAAGCUUUCUAAAUGCCUGUCGGUUUCUUAACUUGAUUUAGCCAUGGAAGCAUUGCAUAUAACUUUUCAGUUAUUUCUCUGCAAAAGUGAUGCAAUAAUCUAAAGCUUCUAUGAAUCUAUCGACACCCUGCUUCUAAUGUAGCCCCUCUUGUAACCCAAGUCAAGUGUCAUUAGUGUGAGGACUGAAGCAAAAUAAAUUAGUUACGAUUGUAUUACUCGUACAAUUCAUGACAUAAUUGUCAAAUUUUACCCUUAAGAUGAUUAAUAUCUUUUUUAAGCCAUCAUCCUCUCAAGGUUAAUUUUUGUGCCGUUGGCACUCUUACCAUUUUCAUGUUUCCAUUGGUUGCAUCCUUUAGAGUUUAGAGUUUGGCCAAACGUGUGUUUCACAAAAUUUUUUACAAUAUGAAUUGAUGCGAAACAAAUCUGCUGUAAUAUUAAGAAAAACUUUCUCAAUAAAUGUUUCAUGUAAUAUUAAAAUAAUAUAUAAAAUUAUACAAAAAUUAUCAAUAUCAUAAAAUUUUAUCCUAAAUAAUGUGAUAUGUGAUAUAUCAAUUGAUUAAGUGGUUGAUAAUUUUUUAUAAAUUGUAAGUUAUUUAAAUAUAUUAUCUCACUAAUUAGUGAAUUAAUAUCACAUUUUUGGAGUUGUAAUUUUGCAAUAAAAAUCUUGGGUUUGUGUAACCCUAAACCUAAUCGCAGCUGUGAAGAAGAUUUUGUUUUUGUUUCAUUUUUAAAAGGGCUUCUUAUUAGGCCUAAGUGCCGAGCUCCUAGUAUGGACCAACCAAGGCCCAACAAAAACAAAAGAGUACCAAUUUUGUAAAAACAGUCAAUUGGAAGGGCCUAUCUGCAAGCAGCACCAAAACAACCAGUGAGCAUUUAUAAUCCAAAAUUAGGGUUUUGGCUGUUUACUCGCGGCGUCCUCUUGCAACUCUCAAGCUCCAAAGUCGUUCGUUACAGUAAAAAAUCCUCUUCGUAACGCCAACAUGGGGUAAGGUUUCUCAUUUCCUCUGAUAGUGUUUGUUUCUCUAGAAAGCUCAAAACUUUUUGAGAAAAUUUUGUUUGUUCUCGUGUGUUUUUUUAUUAUAGAGAUCGCUAUUGUUAAUGACUAAAUUUGAUUGUUAUUUUUAAAAAAAAAUUAAGUAGUGAAAGUGUUUCAUAAAGAAUAUGGAUUGGCCGGUGAUGUGAGAAUUUAUAUUUGCUACUCUUGAUGGGUUUGCUUUAAAUCUAUCUGAUGAUUCUUAUCCACCAAGAUCUCUGAGGUCUCUUCAUAAUUUCUUUUUUAAGUUUCAUCUUCUUUCAAAUUGUGCAUGCAUGUGUCUGUCUUAAGAUUUUUUUUUGUGAAGUAUUAUCUGUUCCACAUCUGAAGUUUCCGUGCUGUUUUGGAAUAUGAUCCUCCAAUCUGAUUGGAAUUCUGAUAUCAUCUUGGUGACUUUAUUUCCAAGUUUAUGGGAAACCUUAAUUUUGGUUUGCUAGCUUUUUGUUUGUUAUUAUAAACAUACAUGAGUUAAAGACAUUGCUUUUGU
rnacentral:lncRNA from 1 species